GCACCUCUAGCUCAAUUGGCAGAGCAAUUGACUCUUAAUCAAUGGGUUUCCGGUUCAAGUCCGGAGGGGUGCACCA
rnacentral:tRNA from 2 species